rnacentral:rRNA from 1 species
GAUGAACGCUGGCGGCGUGCCUAAUACAUGCAAGUCGAGCGAACAGACGAGGAGCUUGCUCCUCUGACGUUAGCGGCGGACGGGUGAGUAACACGUGGAUAACCUACCUAUAAGACUGGGAUAACUUCGGGAAACCGGAGCUAAUACCGGAUAAUAUAUUGAACCGCAUGGUUCAACAGUGAAAGACGGUCUUGCUGUCACUUAUAGAUGGAUCCGCGCCGCAUUAGCUAGUUGGUAAGGUAACGGCUUACCAAGGCAACGAUGCGUAGCCGACCUGAGAGGGUGAUCGGCCACACUGGAACUGAGACACGGUCCAGACUCCUACGGGAGGCAGCAGUAGGGAAUCUUCCGCAAUGGGCGAAAGCCUGACGGAGCAACGCCGCGUGAGUGAUGAAGGUCUUCGGAUCGUAAAACUCUGUUAUUAGGGAAGAACAAAUGUGUAAGUAACUAUGCACGUCUUGACGGUACCUAAUCAGAAAGCCACGGCUAACUACGUG